AACUGAUACUACCUGCGGGAACCUGCGGAGGGAUCAUUAUUGAAGUUGCUGAGGGGUUGCUGCUGGCUCUCCGGAGUAUUGUGCACGCCCUUCUCACUUUACCUUCAUCCACCUGUGCACACACUGUAGAUCUCGGAUACCUUUCGGCUGAAUUUAUUCGGCCGGCUAGGACUGCUGCUCUUUGCGGGGCUUCAGUCCAAUUUCCGGGUUCUAUGUCCUUCUCACAUACUCUAAGUAAUG
rnacentral:misc_RNA from 1 species